rnacentral:rRNA from 1 species
GUCUACGGCCACGCCCCCCUGAACAAGCCUGAUCCCAUCUGGUCCCGGAAGCUAAGCAGGGUCGGGGCCUGCCGUUCACA